rnacentral:rRNA from 1 species
GAUGAACGCUGCUGGCGUGCCUAAUACAUGCAAGUCGAGCGAACAGACGAGGAGCUUGCUCCUCUGACGUUAGCGGCGGACGGGUGAGUAACACGUGGAUAACCUACCUAUAAGACUGGGAUAACUUCGGGAAACCGGAGCUAAUACCGGAUAAUAUAUUGAACCGCAUGGUUCAAUAGUGAAAGACGGUUUUGCUGUCACUUAUAGAUGGAUCCGCGCCGCAUUAGCUAGUUGGUAAGGUAACGGCUUACCAAGGCAACGAUGCGUAGCCGACCUGAGAGGGUGAUCGGCCACACUGGAACUGAGACACGGUCCAGACUCCUACGGGAGGCAGCAGUAGGGAAUCUUCCGCAAUGGGCGAAAGCCUGACGGAGCAACGCCGCGUGAGUGAUGAAGGUCUUCGGAUCGUAAAACUCUGUUAUUAGGGAAGAACAAAUGUGUAAGUAACUAUGCACGUCUUGACGGUACCUAAUCAGAAAGCCACGGCUAACUACGUG